AUUGAACGCUGGCGGCAUGCCUUACACAUGCAAGUCGAACGGCAGCACGGGAGCAAUCCUGGUGGCGAGUGGCGAACGGGUGAGUAAUAUAUCGGAACGUGCCCGGUCGUGGGGGAUAACGUAGCGAAAGCUACGCUAAUACCGCAUACGAUCUACGGAUGAAAGCAGGGGAUCGCAAGACCUCGCGCGAUUGGAGCGGCCGAUAUCAGAUUAGGUAGUUGGUGAGGUAAAGGCUCACCAAGCCGACGAUCUGUAGCUGGUCUGAGAGGACGACCAGCCACACUGGGACUGAGACACGGCCCAGACUCCUACGGGAGGCAGCAGUGGGAAUUUGGACAAUGGGCGCAAGCCUGAUCCAGCAAUGCCGCGUGCAGGAUGAAGGCCUUCGGGUUGUAAAC
rnacentral:rRNA from 1 species